GAUCAUGGCUCAGGAUGAACGCUAGCGGCAGGCCUAACACAUGCAAGUCGAGGGGCAGCGGGAAUUGAGCUUGCUCAAUUUGCCGGCGACCGACGCACGGGUGCGUAACGCGUAUGUAACCUACCCUGAACUGGGGAAUAACACUGAGAAAUCGGUACUAAUACCCCAUAAUACACUGGAAGGCAUCUUCUGGUGUUGAAAGCUCCGGCGGUUCAAGAUGGACAUGCGUUGUAUUAG
rnacentral:rRNA from 1 species